AUGUCUGUGUCUGUGUGUGUGCUGGUGUUUCUGUCAUGUGUGAAAGGUGUGAAAGUGCAGUACAAACUCGGAGGCCAAUGAUGAUCCUGUCACUAUUCCUUAUGAUGGCUAUAUUUCAAUCAGACAUAUUCAGCUACUCCAGCUGCAGCUUUACUUCCACUUGUGUUCUAGGUAAAAAACACAGUUUUUAUACGUGGAUAAUUAACUGAGGUACUUACAGCAUUUUGCUCUGAUUGUCCCAUCUACACUGAAUUCUGAUCAAGUGGACAGAAGACAAUAUCAUGUCCUUCCUGAGCCUAGAAGCUGAGAAUAUUUCCUAGAGUCUCACAUUGGAUCCCAACACAGCUAACAGACACCUCAGCUUGUUUGAGAAUAACAGUGUGGUGACCUGCAGUGAAGCAGUCCAGUCUUUUCCUGAUCAUCCAGAUAAAUUUGACAUUGUAUAUCAAGUGCUGUGUAAAAAAAAAAAGUAUGUAGAGGUUGAUUGGAGUGGAUUUGAUGGAGUGUUGUAUGAAAGCAUAAGCAGGGAUGUCACAGCUAAUGAGUGUAGGUUUGGGAAAAACAAUCAGCCUUGGAGUUUAUACUGUUCUCAGUUCAGAUGUUCAUUCAGGCACAAUAACAAACAAACUAAAACCUCUAAAAGACACAGUGCCUCUGUAAUAGGAGUGUAUGUGGAUUACAGUGCAGGUUAUCUAUCCUAUCACAGUGUCGCUAACACAAUGAAGCUCCUUCACAAAGUCCAAACUUCAUUCACUUAGCCUUACCCAGAGUUUUAUGUUUUCUCAGUCUCAACAGUGAACCUUUUUAUAACUAACUCAAGAAAAGUGACUUAUGUGGCAUCUACAAAUUGAUAUACUGUAAUGUCCAUAUUACUACAAUAAAUUAAGUUCAUUACUGUAUUUAUUUCUAAUGAAUGAGUUUAAAUAAACCUGUCAUUAUUUUAUCUA